AACGAACGCUGGCGGCAGGCUUAACACAUGCAAGUCGAACGGGUGUAGCAAUACAUCAGUGGCAGACAGGUGAGUAACACGUGGGAACGUGCCUUUAGGUUCGGAAUAGCUCCUGGAAACGGGUGGUAAUGCCGAAUGUGCCCUUCGGGGGAAAGAUUUAUCGCCUUUAGAGCGGCCCGCGUCUGAUUAGCUAGUUGGUGAGGUAAUGGCUCACCAAGGCGACGAUCAGUAGCUGGUCUGAGAGGAUGACCAGCCACAUUGGGACUGAGACACGGCCCAAACUCCUACGGGAGGCAGCAGUGGGGAAUCUUGCGCAAUGGGCGAAAGCCUGACGCAGCCAUGCCGCGUGGAUGAUGAAGGUCUUAGGAUUGUAAAAUCCUUUCACCGGUGAAGAUAAUGACUGUAGCCGGAGAAGAAGCCCCGGCUAACUUCGUGCCAGCCGCCGCCGUAACAC
rnacentral:rRNA from 1 species